GUUCUGUUCCCCUUUGCUUCACAAUUAUUGUACUAAAUGUCGCCAAAAUUUGAUCAGUCGGAGUUAUCGUCAAAGUGAGCAAAGGAGUUCUCUACUUGCUUAUCAUCACCAUUUCAGGAGGUGUAUUUAUUACUAUCUAGCAAUAAUAGCAAAAGCUAUAAAAGUGUAUUCCUCUGACACUCCACUCGACAAAUGACCUUAUCGACUUUAGGUAAUAUUAUGCUCUCCUCUUUUUCGUCAUGCAAUGUAAUGAUUUUUUUCAUGUAAUAAUGUCAUACUUAUAUUUCUGAUCUUGAGUGUCACAAUGCCUAUAUUUCUGAUCUUGAGUAUCACAAGUAAAAACUCAUGUUAAUAUAGUUUUGUCCAACUAUUGAUGACCGUGACUGAUUGAGAACUUCCUAAAACUAAAGUUGAAGCGAAUAUGAAUAAUUUGAUCUAUGAUUAGGCAUUGAAUGCUCAAAACGUUAUCAAAAAAGAAAGAGUGAAGUUUUUCAUGGAGUGUACAUCCAUAAACAUUUUUAUUGCAGUGCAGUGGACAUCCAUACUUCGAUCUAUUGAUCAAGCAUGUCCCUCACAAAUAGAAGAUAAUUUUGAUUGUCAGGAUAAACGAUGAGUGGAUAUUUCAAUGUUGGUUAAACAUAUAGAAGAGUUUCAUUACGCAAGAGAAUAUAUGUCUUACUAGUUUUAGGUAGGUUUGCAAAUCUAUUCAUAUCUUGUUUAUGGAGAAACUUUAUAUGAAAAUGAGAAAUUUAUUCAUCAUUAUUUCAUGUGUACAUCUUCUGAAGAUGGACAUUCACCUUUAAUAUAAUAGGGAGUCAACUACUCAAAUAUUAUACUUCGUAUUUUUGGAGGAUUCAAAGUGUUUUUUUUUACUUUUUAUGUUUUUCUGGUAAUGCAAAGAUGGAUUGAUGAGUUUCAUUUGAAAUGAUUCUUUUCUUAUCGUUCAUUAAUAUAUUUCAGUUAAACAAAUGUUUGCUCUAAAUAAAAUCAUCCUGCUCUUCUGCACUUCCACUUCCUUGUCUGAGGUAACUUAUUCUCUCCAAGAGCACUGAAAUAACAUUCCUAAUUUGGGAUGAAUGAGUAAUAUCCAUUAUGGAGUAUCUUCAAGGGGAAUAAUUAAAUCUUACACGCUUUCUCUUAAUAACAUAGUUGAGUCAUUAGAUCUUCAAGAUCUCUCCGUCAUAACUUAGUUGAUUCAUAACUCUCCUUUACAAUUUUUGAAACUUAUCUCUUAUAUGAAAGAUUUUAGCAUACUGUGAUCAUUCUGUUUGUUUACUUUCUUCCCAAAGGUAACAUGAAGCUCCUACUACGUUGUUUCUAGAAUGAAAAAACUGAUUAUGUACUAUACAUCACAUUACACCGAAAACUCAUAGAGAAAUAUACAUUAAGAGCAUCUAUAUGGCGUGCUUGAAGAUAUUAAACAGUUAAUACAUAUUUUGGGUAUUAUAUCUUAUAAUGGUUGACUAUAACAAUUUGUAGAUACAAUAUUCUUUUAUCUAACAAAUGAUGUAUGCAAAAUUGGCUGAUGUGAAAAAAAUAAACGCAAUGUAUUUUCAUUUUGAUAACAUAUGUUGGUACUGUGCCUUUUGGUUAUUUUCAACAUUUAACAAUUCACGAUUUCUGAUAUCUCCACUUCACUGAUGUGAAAGAUGUUACCUUUACUACAUUUGUAGAAAGUGGUAAUUUGAGAUGAAUAAUACGUACUUUUUUGCAAGAGUAUAUGGUUAUUUACCGACUAGCUAGAUGUAUUAUAGUUUGGGACUUGUAUUAGUUAUAGAAGGUGUAUGCAAUUGUUGAACUAUUAUAAAUUUAUGUAAUUAUUACUAAG